CAAAAAAAGAAAAAAGAAAACCUCCUCCCGCAUCUGAUAUUCUGAUCCAUUCCCAUUCUCCAUUCCAAACCCUAGCGGCGAGCCAUGGCCCCCCGCAAGCGCCGCGCGCCAUCGCCUCCGCCUCCUCCGCCGCUGCCGCAGGAGGAGCAGGAGUCCUCCGAGGAAUCGGGCUCCGAGGAGUUGGUGCCUCCGAGCCCCCCCGGGCGGCGUAUGCCCCCUCCCGCCGCCGCGGCUGCGGCCGCCGACUUGUCCGAGGGUUCCGAUUCCGACUCCGACACCGACGCGCAGGCCUUCCAGCUCCAGGUGCACCGCUCCCCCACCAAGCAGCCGCCGCCGCACCAGGAUCCCCAGCCCGAAUCCGACGGCGACGGCGACGACGAGGAGGUCCCGGCGUCGGAGUCGGAGCCUGAGAACCCGGAGCCAGUGGUUCAGAAGGCGGCGGCUGCGGCGGCGGCCGGGAAGUCCAAGGCGGAGCAGGAGAGGAAGAGGCCGCCGGCGGAUCCUGCUCCGUCCGGCAAGGCGAAGAAGGCCAAGGCCGGGGCUGAGAAGGCGGCUGCUGCUGCGGCGGCUGAGGCCACCCCGCCCAGCAAGGCGAAGAAGGGCAAGGCCCAGCCGGAUAAGGUGGCGCCUGAGGCCAUUCCAGCUGGCAAGGCGAAGAAGGUCAAGGCCGAGCCAGAGAAGGCCGCGCCUGAGGCCAUUCCAGCCGGCAAGGGGAAGAAAGGCAAGGCUGAGCCAGAGAAGGCGGCACCAGAGGCCACUCCAGCCAGCAAGGGGAAGAAGGGUGGAGCAAAGCCGGAGAAGCCAGUGGCUCUGGAUACCUCGCCGUCCAGCAGCAAGUCUGAGAAGCCUGCACGCAACCAGCGGCAUUGGGGGAAAAAUGAUGAGAUGAAGAUAUUGGAGGUCCUUGCGGCGCAUGUCAAGAGCGAGGGCACACUGCCAAAGACAGAUUUCAUCAUUUCUACUAUUGGUGACCGCCUAGAUAGGAAGAACUGCACCUACACAGAUAUGUAUGAGAAGGUACGACAGCUCAAGGGGCGGUAUGAGAAAGCAGUGAGCACAGGCAUUGUGCCAAGUAAAGAAGAUGAGCUCCAGAUGUAUGAACUCUCGGAAGCAGUCUGGGGAGAGAAGACGAUGGCGCUGUGACGAAGAGUAAGAAGGGUCAUGCUAACAAACAGAAAAUAGAUGGAUAUUCAAAGGGUGGCGCACCAAAGGAGGCUGCCGCCAGUACUUCCAAUCAAGAUGGUGAUUCUCAGAAAGUAAGUAAGAAGGGGCAGGGCAGCAAGGUGAAAACAGAGAGAGAUUUGAAGAGCAGGUUGUCAAAAGAGGCCACCACCACUGGUCAGCCGAGCAAGAAUAAGAAGCGGGAAAAUCAUAAUGAGGAAUUAGACAAAGAUGCAAAGAGUGACGUGUUGAAGGAUGCUACCACUAAUGGCACUCAAAAUGGCAGUAAUUUGGCCAAGGGCAAGAGGAAGAAGACUGACAAAGGGAAGAUGGACAUUGAUAGGGAUAGUCUUAUGCCAAAGGAAGCCACAGCUCCAAAUCAGAAUGGUAGCACUUCGACUAAGAAUAAGGAAGGGAAAACUCAUGAUGAGGAAAUAAAAAGAGAUGCUAAUGUGCAAGGUAUGCGUAGGGGUUUUGAUGAGUUGCAGUCACAGUAUUCUAACCUUGCUGCCUAUGUGGCGGAGAUUGAAGCCCGAAAUCCAUGUGGGGAGACUCUGAAGAGAGCAUUUGAGUUCAUUGGUGAUGAGAAGGCACAAUCUUUGGAAUCCAAGGUCAAGAAGCAACGAGUAAAUGAGGCAAAGGUGCUGAUCCGUCGAGCAGAUGUAAAGAAGGACGUUCUUAAUAUGUUGAUGAGUUUGGUGGACUGAACUUAUAUGGCGUUAUCAAGUCUUUUGUUGAUGACUGGAUAGAAGAUUCAGGCUGCAAGAGGUGAUUUAGUAUUAGUUUAAGGGAUGAGAUUCAGGGUGUUCAACAGGUGGCCAUAUUUCUGUACUUAUGAGCUAUUAUCAUGUUAGUGAGUGCUAGUGAUGAGAUGAUUGUAUUUGCUCCAAGCUAUGGCUUAAACUGUUGGUUCUGCUAGUGUUUGAGACAUUAUGUCAUAGCAUUUUGUUUUGGCAGGUGUACUUAAUGGGAUGGUAAAUUUUUGUCAAGGUUUGACUUAAAAUUGUCUUUGUUAGGCCGUAAAGUCCCCAUGAUUCCUAGUAGUAGCUCUUUUUUUGUUGCAGUCUCACCAGUAUGAUUUUCCAUUUUCAAUGCAAGCUGUAAUCUGUGAUCCAAGGUUGGUUUCUCCUGUAGUUUCUUUAAACUUUGCAGACCAGUUAAUCUGUGAUCCAAGGGUCUGUAGUUUCUUUAAAAUUUGCAGACCAGUUUGCUUUAAUAGAUCUGUGCGAUUAUCAUUGAUCUGUCUUGUAUGGCAUUGCCUUGUGAAUCAGGUUGAUUUGUAGCCAUACCUUGAACUCUGAAGGCUCUCGCAUGUCAUAAGCCAUGUCAUAAGCCGAGAUAUUUCUGGUCUGUCAUCUAUGCACGCCACUUUACAUUAUCGUCGUCCCAUUACCGACAUGCAUGUCCUGUUCUUCUUUGUGGUAGGUUUACUUGGUACUGGAGAUCCAAAUUCAUAGCAAUAUGUGAUUCAUGUUCGCUGAUGUGGGGAGCUGAAUCUUCCACCCAUCCAUGCCUUGUUCAGAUGGAAUGGAAAAAGGGAUCAGAUCAAAUAUCUGGGAUCCUGAUAACCUGAAGUCAUCAGGGUCUAAGCGUCAGAUCUUGCAGCUUGCAUUUUUAACUUGCAAGUUGGCAUCAACGUCCAGGAAGCUUUGCCAUGGCAUCAUGUGCGGCACCAAGGUCCAAGAGCUAACCUUGCCCUGUAUGGCAGAUGACUGAUGUCUUUUGCUGUGUUGGAAUAUCUCGUGGAUUUAUGGCGUGAGGUGUUGCUCAAAUUUAUUUUGGGCUCCGUAGGUUUAACUUUCAGGUAGGUGGUUGAGCUAAUUUUUGUGCGGCAGGUAUGAACUGUUAGAUGCAGAUACACCCUAGUGUAUUUUCUCACUAGUGUAGGGUGCUAUUUGCACUUUGUACAGAACCAUACAUCUAGCCCCCGUGGGCAUGGUUAUACAUUUGAGUUGCCAUUGGCAUUCAUAA